CCAAUGCGGGGCUCGAACUCACAGACUGUGAGAUCGUGACCUGAGCUGAAGUUGGAUGCGCAACCGACUGAGCCAUGCAGGCGCCCUGAGGCUCUCAGAUCUUGAGGGCAAGUGCUGGGUCUCACUGAGCUUUGUAUCUCCCCUGCUAUGUAACAAGUGCUCAAUAAACAUUUGACCAGUGAGUGAGCAAAUAAUAAGUAAAUCAGUACAAGCAUAAGUAAUUGAAUCAGUGUGUGAAAGAAUGCACUCUCUAGUGGAGGUAUGGAUCAAUGAAUGAGUCCAUCAGGGCAUGAGGGAGGGGGCAGGUGAACGGUGCAUCAGUGAGUGAGGAGAGUUGAAUGAAGGAAGGAUGCCCAUUCCCUUGUGAAAGGUUGUAUGGUGGUAAUGGCUUAAAUGGCCCAGUUCCAGAGCCCUGGGAAGAGUCUGGGCUGUGGCUGCUCGAGGGACAGCGCUGAAGGAGGGCUCAGCAGCUGGAGCUCCCCAAAUACAGCCAUUCUAGAGACUUCUCUCCCCUGCCUUCCAGCCGCCAUCCACCUCUGCUUUGUGGACACAGUGGUGCUGAGGGAGUGUGAGGCAGGGCAAGCCUCCAAGCUAAGUCCAUAGCUGUCCACUCCCGGACACCCCAGCCACAGGCAGUGAGGACUCACUCCCCGCCCCCCCCCAUGCCCCCCCCUCGACUCCAUAUCCCCUCGCUGAUCUCCCCUGUCUUGUUGGCAAGGGAGAGCCUGUCAGGGGUUUGCAUUAUUUAUCUGCUCUGUAACAUUUACUGGGAUGUAGUGUUUAAUAACUGUCACUCCAAUAUAUCUUUUCUUAAUCCCUUCAGAUCUGCUGCUGUAGCAAUUUUAAAUAUUUAUCAACACUGUUCAUGUAUUCGCUGGUUGGGUUGCAAUUUUCUUGUAAUUAAAGAUUUACAAGACACUGCUUGAGAUUUACAAAGGAUUGGUAGAGAUCAAAGGGGGAGCAGAGGAGAGAUCGGGUCUUGGAAUCUGUUGCUGGGAAUGCCGAAGCUGGAUUUGCUCUCCCGGGAAAAGUGGAGGCUCCUUCAUGGGCUCCCACUGCCCUCUCCUUCCUGCUCUUUCCCACAGCCCAGCGCUCCAGUAAAGCAGACCUCACAGCGCGACCCAGGCCACAGUGUGGUCCUGCCUCCCUCUGGAGCCCCUGCGGCCGCAUGCCAGCCUGGGGCUGGGUGCUGGGGCACAGCGGGGAGCGAGGCAGGGAAGGUCCCUGUUCACAUGGGGCUUACAUUCUAGUGGCAGCGGCGGACGAUAAACGUUAACAAAAUUAAAAUUAUUUUGGGUUUUGAAAAAUGCUAUGGAUGGAGUAAAUAGAUAGUGACUGAGGGUAGGAAAUGAGUAUCAGAGUUCUUGCCCUCGAGCAGUAGAAACUGACUCAAUGAAAGGAAGUUUCUGAAAGGAUAAGGGGAGUUCAUAAGGGACCAAAGGAAAGAAUAAAAGUGAAAAAGGGUAAGUGGAGGCAGGCACCCACAGAUGGUCUCUUCAGAGGGUGGCCUUUGGGAGAAAUGUCUCUGGACUGUGUUCUGUUUUGGUGACAUUCUGCCCAGGAGUCACAGUCCAGAGACAGAGGUGUUCACUCUUGGGCUGAGGAAGGCAGGGCACCUUGAGUGACAGCUUCACCGGGGCUGUCCAUUGGGGGAGGGGUAGUCAUCCAGAUGAAAUCUGGGUCACAGGUAAUGGGCUUACUGGAGCCUCAGGUGCACAUUAUAUCUCAGAAGGCCUCCCAGGGGUUAUCUGAGCUGACACCAAAAGGAUGAGAAGGGGCUGGUCACAUGAAGAACUGGGACAAGAGGGACUAGAAAGGGCAAAGCCUGAUGGUAGGAAAGAGCUUGGAUUUUCAAGGGUCUGGGUGGCCGGUUCUGUCUUCCCUCACAGACUGGGCUUGGGCAUGGACCCAUCUCCAGUUCUGCAGAGGCAGACCUGGUUUACAUUAUGGGGCCAGAAUUUUGUUUGUUCCAGAUGGAACGGAGUAGAGGGCGUUCCCUACCUCCUAGAACAGGAAAAACAAUAAUGGCGGAAUUUUGGUUAAGUCAAGUCAUGUUUCUGGAGGCCUUUGGACUCCUAAGGAUGGACGAGGUAUGUGCACAGUCCUCAGAGCGCUUACACCCUUGUUGGGGAGACACACACAGAUCAGGGCAGUGAUAGACGUAAGCCUAGAGAGGCAUUUGAACCUUGCUUCUAUUCUAAACUAUGUGUUUAGUGCUCUAAAUUCCCCUUAAGUACUGCUAUGAUUUUUGUUUGUUUCUCCAAGUCUCUAUUUCGUCACGUACAAAAUGAGAAUAAUAAUAGUACCUUAUUCAUGUGAAACUUUCUAGGGAUUAAAUGAGAUAAUACAUGUAAAGUACUUACAUAUGCCUGGCACAUAAUAAUAUUCACUCAAUAAAUUUGAGCUAUUAUGAUUAAUAAUAAAAGUCAUGUAAGUAUCACUACCCCAAAACCAACGAUUUUGAUGUCGUAUUUGUAUUUUCAUCCGACUCAAAACGCUUCCUAAUUUUCCUUUGUUCUCCAUGGAUUGUGUAGAGGUGUGUUAUUUAGCCCACAGAGUUUUAGGGAUUUUCUAGUUAUCUCUCUGCAUUGAUUUCCAAUUUAUUUCUCUUGUGGUCAGAGAGCAUACUUGGUAUGACUCAAAUCCUUUAAAACUCAUUGAAUGUUACUUAUGGCCCAGAAGAUGAUCUUUCUUGAUAAAAGUUUCAUGUUUCCUUGAAAGAAUGUGUACUCUUGCUAUUGUUGGGUAGAGUGCGCUGUCAUGGUGAGUAGGUCGAGCGGAGCGACAGUGUUGUUCAGAUCAUCUAUGUCCUUGCUCAUUUUCUGACUACUUGUUCUAGUAAUUAAUGGGGGGGGGGUGGAAAUCUCUGACUGUAAUUGUGAGUGUGUCAGUUUCUCCUUGUGGUUCUAUCAAUUUUUGGUUCACAUAUCGUGGAGCUCUGUUAUAAGGCGUAUUGAGGUUUGCAAUUUUUAUACAUUAAAGAACGAUCUGGCCCCAAAUGUCAAUUGAGGAAGUUGAGAAGCAAUAAUCUAGAGCUAAUUAUUCCCCUCAAGUGAGACAAGACUCAUUUAUGCGCCCCGUUCGCUGCCCCACCAGGCAUGGGGUUUCCAGUGUGGGCUGUGGGAGCAGACACUAUUCCCAGUGUGCAUGAGUGGUGAGCACUCUUCACCUUAACCUUUUCAGUUUACUCUUUUACCCAGCUUCGCAUGGAUUCCUCACCUGUACAGGCUGAUGAGUACUCAGCUGAGGGAUGGAGGGAGAUUCUCUUUGUGGAUCUCCAGAGUUCUGUGCAACUUUUUCUCCACUCUUCUUUCCGGCAAAUUCUACCUGCCCUGCUCCACAUGGCAUCCCCUUCCUACCUGUAGCCUGGAAACUCUCUGAAGAUAGCAAGCCUAGACAAUCAUCGGGAUGGUCUUGUUUAUUUCUCACCUCGAAAGGAUCACUGUGCUACAUUGCCUAGCAUGCCAUGUCCCAUAAAUGGUUGCUUCAUA